rnacentral:rRNA from 1 species
UACGUAGGGAGCAAGCGUUGUUCGGAUUUACUGGGCGUAAAGGGCGCGUAGGCGGCAGAUCAAGUCAGCUGUGAAAUCUCUGGGCUUAACCCAGAACGGUCAGCUGAUACUGUUUUGCUAGAGUGCGGAAGGGGCAAUCGGAAUUCUCGGUGUAGCGGUGAAAUGCGUAGAUAUCGAGAGGAACACCUGAGGUGAAGACGGGUUGCUGGGCCGACACUGACGCUGAGUGCGCGAAAGCCAGGGGAGCAAACGGG